CUUUUAGUUUGGUGGUUCAUGCCACCACCAUAAAAUUAAUUAUCUUUUCAAUUAUUCCUCAUGAUAAUUUAUGCACAAAAUUAGUCUAAUCGUUGGAGCAUUGUGCAAUGCAGUUGAAACACCGCUUGAUUUCGGAAAUAAGAGAUUGCCCAAAAUUAAUUUGGAAAGAAACUCACUCGUGGGAAGUCCUACAUAGAAGGGAGGAAGAGAAACUUGAUACAGUCCAAAGACUACUCUAUUGCAAAACUAGAAAGAAAAUAUUGAUAUAUCACAAAGGAUUUUUCCCGAGCUUGAAACAUUAGGAAUCUAUUAUCACGAUUGUUUGGUAGGAUCAUCUUCCUAGAGCAACAAUCUUUUUGAAAGCUAUACAACUUGAAAGAGAUUGCAUUUUAGGAGAA
rnacentral:misc_RNA from 1 species